rnacentral:misc_RNA from 1 species
ACGAGUUAGGGUCUUUUAGGCCCGACCUCCCAACCCUAUGUUUAUUGAACCUCUGUUGCUUCGGCGGACCCGUCUCACGGCCGCCGGAGGACCGCUGAAAGGCGUCCUCUGGCCAGCGUCCGCCGAUAGCCAACCACUUAAACAAAUUAUCAAAACCAAAAUCAUUGAACCCCCUUUCUGAAUCAGACCUUUUGAUAUACCAAUCAAAAACA